UACGGGGGGGGCAAGCGUUGUUCGGAAUUACUGGGCGUAAAGGGCUCGUAGGCGGCCAACUAAGUCAGACGUGAAAUCCCUCGGCUUAACCGGGGAACUGCGUCUGAUACUGGAUGGCUUGAGUUCGGGAGAGGGAUGCGGAAUUCCAGGUGUAGCGGUGAAAUGCGUAGAGAUCGGGCGGAACACCAGCGGCGAAGGCGGCAUCCUGGCCCUGACCUGACGCUGAGGCGCGAGAGCGUGGGGAGCAAACCGG
rnacentral:rRNA from 1 species